rnacentral:lncRNA from 1 species
GCUUCCCUAUUUAAUUUUAGGAUCUCGAUUUUAUAAAUGCAUACACCAGAUCUCUUAUUUUCUACAUAAAAACAAUAAUUAUGUGUGGGCCCUAUUAAUUAUAAGCUUAAAAUAAAUUUAGGGUGAGUGUAAAUUUAAGAUUGAAUUUAGGUAGGUGUAAAUUUUUUUGUGGGCCCCAUCCAAUUUAGGGGAUCUGCUGGAUGCAU